GUUCCUGAAGGUCAGCAAUGACCCGCCCUCAGCCCUGCCCUUGGCCUUCCUCUUGUGCUAGUUGUGCCCAAAGUCCGGAGGGGAUGAAGGUGGCACGGGGUUGGUGUGUCAAUACUUCCCUGAUUGUGCGCACACCUGGCCAGGCUGGGAUAGUGACCAGACUCGGCCCCAACCUUGCUCUGAGAUCAAAGCAGAUGCUAGGAGUGGAGAGAAGCCAAACAGUGGGAGCAGGCACUUCCAAGCCUGUGGGGGUAUGGGGGUCCUUCCCAGGCCCCUGAGAGUGCAGAGAUGCCUGGGUCCACAGCCGUGACAUGAGGAGUUGCAGCUGUGCCUGGGAAGGUGGGGCUCCUCCUGCCUGUUCCUGGCUCUCACCAGCUCCCUGGAGCGUGCAGUGCUGCCUGUGCCUCCACACUGCAGCUGGCAUCGUGGCAGCUGCCGCUCUAUACAGGCUGCCACUGCCAUCACUUCCAGAAUAUUACGUUGCUGCUACCUAGUAGAUGUUCAGUAAGCUUCUUAAUUUUAAUAAGCAUUUAACUAGGAACAUGAAGUUCUUUAUACUUUGAGACAUUAUAUACCUGCUUGUUAUUGCCAUGAGUGCUUUCUGUCUCUUGACUGAAACAUGGCUCCCAAGCCUGAAACAUCAGGGAUAAAGUCUGGUGAGGAAAACAAAAGCAGAGAAGAGAACCAAGAGCCAGCAUGGUUCACCAAGGUCACAGGGCUCUUGGUUACUGACUGAAUCCAGACUGUAGUCCAAUGCUACUAGCAACAAAUCUGUUCUUUACACUGAGUCUCGGCUACUUUGCUUCUCUUUAAAUACUUUGCACCACAGAAUGUCCAGGAUAUAUCAGGAAGGAGCA
rnacentral:lncRNA from 1 species